UGGCAGUCAGAGGCGAUGAAGGACGUACUAACCUGCGAUAAGCCGUGAGCAGUCGGUAAGAGACAUUACGACUCACGGAUUUCCGAAUGGGGAAACCCACCUAGCAUAAGCUGGGUAUCGCUACGUGAAUACAUAGCGUAGCGAGGCGAACCGGGAGAACUGAAACAUCUAAGUACCCCGAGGAAAAGAAAUCAACCGAGAUUCCCUCAGUAGCGGCGAGCGAACGGGGAUUAGCCCUUAAGCAUCUUGGAAGUUAGUGGAACGGUCCUGGAAAGGCCGGCGAUACAGGGUGAUAGCCCCGUACACGAAAACAACCUUGAUGUGAAAUCGAGUAGGGCGGGACACGUGACAUCCUGUCUGAAUAUGGGGGGACCAUCCUCCAAGGCUAAAUACUCCUGACUGACCGAUAGUGAACCAGUACCGUGAGGGAAAGGCGAAAAGAACCCCUGUGAGGGGAGUGAAAUAGAACCUGAAACCGUGUACGUACAAGCAGUGGGAGCCCUUCGGGGUGACUGCGUACCUUUUGUAUAAUGGGUCAGCGACUUACAUUUUGUAGCGAGGUUAACCGUAUAGGGGAGCCGUAGGGAAACCGAGUCUUAACUGGGCGUCUAGUUGCAAGGUGUAGACCCGAAACCGGGUGAUCUAGCCAUGGGCAGGUUGAAGGUUGAGUAACAUCAACUGGAGGACCGAACCCACUAACGUUGCAAAGUUAGGGGAUGACCUGUGGCUGGGGGUGAAAGGCCAAUCAAACUCGGAGAUAGCUGGUUCUCCCCGAAAGCUAU
rnacentral:rRNA from 1 species